CGAGAAUUAUAAUCAUUAAUCGAUUUUAUGUUAUUACGCGCUGUUUAAGAUACUUCAUAGUUAAAUAAAUUGCAUUUUAUAUCAUAUGAAAUACACACAUAUACAUACAACAUGUACGUACAUGCGCACGAGCUGUGCUCUUUUUUUUAAACUUAUAUAAAAGACAACACCUUAAAACUACAAGAAACGAAGAAAUAUUUAAAUUAAUAAAGACCAGUAACUUUUAAAUUUUAAUAGAAUAGAUUUUUGCAUACUUAUAUAAACUUUUAUUAUCUAUAAAAGUAAGCAGUUACAUAUUAUUGGAACACAAAAUUGGUUAUAAUUCCAGAAUAAGGUCAAAUAGAAUACAUGUUCAUAUGAUAUUUUUUUAUUGAUUUAUGUUCCCUGCUGCUGAAGUGGGUUCCACAUGUUAUGAAACACUCUAUAUACUUAACAAUAUCAUAUUUUAUUGUAAUUAAUAAAAGAUUGGUUUGCAUUAAAUUAAAAAGGAAAGUAUAUAAAAACACGUCAAUUUAGUAUCAUGAUAUAUCAUGAUAAAAAAAAUGCUAUUUCAACGCAAAUACCAUUCGUCUUCUAUUGAUUUGUGACUCACAAGUCGCUUUCGUCCUGCUUACGACGAGUUGAGUGUAUCAAGGUAUUUCCGAGAAAAAAGCGGCACCGAGAUUCGGCGUUUUGCGAUACUCUUCGAGAGCAAGAAGCAGUCUCCCCGUGUUAGUAUGUUUGCGCUCGCUGGCUCGCGACGGCGGAGAAGGAAGGGAAACAGAUUAGAGCGAGCGCGAAGGUAGGGGGAACGUGGAGGAACGUACGCGAGAGAGAAGCGGUCGCGUGAGAGAAGGGUGGGAGACAACGAGUCCGUCCGUUUGCUUGCCAAACGAUCCCAAAGAUCGCGCUAGCGUCGCUUUCAGCUCGUUCGGCUCCGAGCCACAGGCAGAGCUCUCAGUUGACGCUCAGUUCGGCUCAGUGAGGCCAGCGAGAAGAAAGGGGGUCUUUCUAUGUGUGUGAGGGUCGUGCGUGUGUGUAUCAACGUACGAUUUUCGAGGCCGUAGACAUCACUGUUCGCUGAAAACUCCCCAUUGCGUUAAACCCAUUGUCAAAGGGUGGCUCUACCUGAUUUGACAGAUCACGAAACGGGACUCCAUAAACAAGGAUUUUCACUCGAAUCACAGGAACACACUUUCUCUCCGUGACAACUCCUGUGCUUUUCAUAAUCAUAUUUGUGACAUCAGUGGAUUCCGUGAUUGGAUAGGAUACGACGGAUACUAGUCGCACACCAACGGGACGCUUGAUGAAGUGUCCCCGAGAUCCCUUCGCAAUGGGGAUGACAGUAAUUACAGGUGACGGAGACGGGGUGACACGCGGCUCGUGCGUAGUCGGCCGCGGGACGACAAUAGCACAGUCAGCCGCACAGUGAAUUACGUUUUCCCCGCCAAGAGAUCGACGAUUGCCAAGUAUCCUGCCUCCUAAAUGGUUUAAACGCGCGCGCUACUUUUAACGUCCCAUUCUGGAUACUAAGCCCGCGCGAAGUGAUCAACCGACUGUUCAUAAAGAUUCGAUAUUUUUACGGUCUGAUGUAUGAUACACACUCUGUCUAAAUCGCGCUGUGUUACUUUGUUUUCGUUCCAAUCCUCAUCCGACAUCGUUGGACCGAUUGAUUAUUGGACAACCGUACAUAAUAUCUGCACAAUCUAUUAACGGACUACAUCCGUGACGUUUGCACGUGGCACGCUCGCUGUCACAUUGAUCAUCUCGUCUGCUGCCGUCAACAUCGUCGUGGGAUCAUUCGGUGUCAUCGUCGCGCGUGGACCUUUCCUCGACGGAUUUGUCACGCACUUUAUCGCGCCCCUGUGCUAUCCUCUGUGUUGCCUGUGCCUCCUUACUUCUCUGUCCCUCGUUCACCUACCCCUCCACCUGUCUGUGUGGCGCUGCACACCCUCUCCCCCGCCACCAACCCCUCAUCGGACGCGCGCGUAUUCGCACAAUUUUCUCUAUCCCCACCCUCUCUUCCCCCUGCUCCUCGCGCCUUCACUACUUUCUGCAUUCGUUUUCUUUAUCAACCCCGUGAAUUCACGGAUCAACACGGCUCGGCGACGAUGAGCUUGCCGCCUCUCACUACCUGGUGAAAACUUAACUGCUCCACCACGUGCACAUUUUAUCAUACUUAUUGUCGUGAAAUUUGUGACCUGCAUUCAAUCGGAAUUCCGAACAUUGGGCAAAUCGUGGAAAACAUUGUUCCAAUCUGGAUCUCAUCUAUGUUUAUGUUAUGAUCGGGACGACUACGCGACGACCUCCAUACUUCGAGUGAAUUUCGGUCGACUUGUGCACGGAUCGACUGUGAUUGUUACUGAACGAUUAUCACGGGACCGCGAUCCGUGCCGAUUGAUCGCGGCACCAAUAUCGUUAAAACACCGGUAAUCAACCGUCAUCAUCUGCACCAUCGCCGAUCACGUGGCUUGCUCGACGGCGACGCUGUACGAUAAUGUUCACGCCGCGCCUCUAUGUGGCUCCGGCGUGGGCCACCCUGGCUCCGUCACGCCGAUGGGGACAGCAACCGGAGCGGGGAAUUCCACCGGGGUGACCUGGUGGGCCAUGAUGAACGGUUCCCUCUACGAAGACAGCCCGCCGCCAGUUCCACCGACAGCCUCGACGCUCGUAUCAAUUCAACAGCAGGCGACCUCGACACCGGGUUCCCAUCAACAGGCCACAACACCAACUUCACCCGGUGCACCGGUAUCAUCGGCAACGACAGCGCCACCCGCGCCUACCGCGAGCGCCAGUUCGACCUCGCCGAGCGCUUCCUCGGUAGCGAGCAACAGCACGGCUGGACCGCUCCAUAUACCUGCCAAGCGAUUAACCGCGACUCCAGGAGGCGGUGGUUCCACUUACGGGGAAGUCACUUGCGUAGAGUCCUCAGGUGGACCUGGUGGUGCGAGCGCGGCGGGCGUGAUACGACACUCUCACUCGUCCUCGGCGGGUUCUCAGGGCGGCUGGAGUUAUAGUCCGCAUCAUCAUCCCCAGGACUCCCAUUAUUCGUCCACGGCGGGCGAAUCGUUGAACCAUCAUCAAACUUACGGGGGUAAUAAUCCCCCUACGUACUACAACCUGGCGGCCGAUCCUGCUUCGACCUCCGGUUCCUCUAGGGACAACCGGAAGGCUGGGGCUACCCUUAGUUUCUGGUCGCCCGCAGCCGCUACUGCUGGAUCAGCCGGUACUGCCGGCUCUACCUCGGAUUACAAGUCGUACAAUUCGGCCGGUGUGGCGACGACGACGUCGUCUACCGGUGGGUCUACCUCCGGUGCAACUGGCGCAACCGAUCCAGCCGUGUCGUCCUGCCAUCAAAGCUUUUCCCAGAGCUGGUGCAAUUACGCACCAUAUACGACGGCGAGGCACCACCAUCCGGUCGACACGGCCGGGCAUCACCAUCCUCAUUCGCAGACGGGGGUACCGUAUCUGACACCAUCCGCAGCGGACGACCGGGGUAGGGUCGCUGCUGCUAUGGUUGCUGCGGAAGGUGCCUUUCCCCACGAUGGAUACGGCGGCCUGAGAAACUACGGAGCGCCCGAGCCUGUUACCUCCAGUCCUUACCCACCUCCAGUGAUGUGGGGUUCCUCCCCAUCUUCCUUGUUUCCCGCAGGUUCGCUUGCGGGAGUAGGCGUCGGGGUUGGCGUAGCAGGCAUGGGUGUUGGAUGUGGCAGUUCCAAUCCCUUGGAAUGGACGGGCCAGGUGACGGUGCGGAAGAAACGCAAGCCUUACUCGAAGUUUCAAACUCUUGAACUGGAGAAAGAGUUUCUCUUCAACGCUUAUGUUUCGAAGCAGAAGCGAUGGGAGCUUGCGCGUAACUUAAAUCUGACCGAGCGCCAAGUUAAGAUCUGGUUUCAAAAUCGCCGAAUGAAGAAUAAGAAGAACAGUCAACGGCAGACCCAACAGCAGAAUAACAACAACAACAAUAACAAUAGCAGCGCCAAUAACGCGAAUCAUCACGCGGCGACCGGUAGUCAUCAUCAUCCAAGUACCGCACACGCGCCACCUUCGAGUCACCACGUGGUUGCGCAGGCGCAUCACGCGAAUGGCUCCACGAAACAUCAUCAGUGACCCGUAGCCUUCUCUGGGGUCGUCUUCGGGCAUCACCAUCACAGCCACACCUCGUCCAGCAGUGGUAGCAGUCACGGAGGCAGCCAUAGCAGCCUGGUAGCAGGUCACAGCCAUAGCCUCCACGCGCCGCAGCCCCAGACACCGCUGCCGCCGACUCACGCGUCGUCGUCAGGAACCGUGACGCCCGCCACGGCCGUGGUCCAUCCACACGCACAUACGCACGCACACGCCGGUAGCCACCACCAUCAGCUGACGCAUGUGGCUCAACAAUAUCCUGCGCUCCUACAUCAGACGCCUCAUGGCUUGGCCGCUUAAACAUAUUGGACGCCCCAGAGAAAAUUAGUCGAGACGCCUCAGAGAAGAAGAGAGAACGAAAGAGAGAGAGAGAGAAAGAUAGGUAGAGAGAGGCAGAGAAAGAGUCGAGGCGAUUCCACGAAACCGUCGAUCAAUAUCCACGUCCACAGAAACGACGAAAAAUCCUCAUGGACUCUAUCGAGCAGCCGUUUAAAGACUGCCUCCACUUGUAAGGAAAGAUAAAGUUCGCGCGUAGUAUAUUAUUAUUAAUUAUUAAUUAUUAAUUAUUAUUAUUAUGAUUCUUAUUCAACAUCAAGCGAAAACUUCGCUAUUGUAUAAAAGAGGCGCGUGUGGGGCUGCUAUUUUAUGCAGCCCGAAGACUCUUUCCGAGUAUCGGUAAUCAGGUGUCGGUAUUGUACGAAUAAUAUAUGUCAUCAUACGACACCAAGCAAUCUGUCCAAUUCGUAAUUCGGUAGUAUUUUCUCCACUUAUACAUACAUACGUAUAUACAUACAUAUAUAUGUUUGCAAAUAGAUAUAUGUAUAUGCACACAUAUACGUGUAUGUAUGUAUAUGUAUGGAUGUAUAUAUAAAGUAAAGAGUAAUUAAUGUCACUUAGUGUGUCCCUGCUCCUCCCGUUGCCCCAGUUUCCCCUUUCUCACUCCAAUUGCAUCGUGUCGUUACUUCGUCUUAUACUAUCGAGCCCAGAUUGCAUAUUGGAAAUUGAAACGUAUUAUACACUGGACUGAUCCCAUCAGACGUCAUUGAUUUUGCAGGUAGGACUGGAUGGUCCUUUGAGAAUAGAGGAUUGUAAAGCGGAUAGUUUCUUUUGAAGGGUAAGUGGACUCACUGAUCUCGUCUAAAUGCAUGUGUAUCUCUUCUUAAAUUAGCCUUUCACUUCGACAUUUACGAUUACGUUAGAAGUUACGAUCGUAUUAGAGAGUUACAGAAUUUGUGUCAAGUAUUUACACAUAAUUAAUAUAAAAAAGUGAUGUUAGCAAAACAUUUUUAUGACACAUCAUUUAUGGAUAAUUUAAUUUUUUUAUAUUCCUGAAACAUAUGUAAAACAAAAAGCCACAAUAGUUCUAUUUGUUUACUAUAGAUAGAGAAACGCGGCAUAUAUUUGUUUUUAAUAAAUGAUAGUUCCGGUAUUUACAUUUCAGACUUUGAUUUUUGACAAUGAAUACUAUUUAGUCUAAAUGUACUCGCAGUGCAGUCCACUAUUGUGACAUAUUGCGAUGUAUAUUAUAAUUAUGAUUCCUGACUGAUGUAGAAAGAGAAAGAGAGAGAAUUACUCUCUCAAAAGUUAAACGCAUUCUUCCCUUAUUAUUCAAUUAUGUUCUUAUUAUAACAAAAUAAGGAACAUGGUGAUUUUCGAAGUUAGCGUAAAAGACGAACGCAUCCAAAAAAUUAGAUAGCUAUGUCCACAGUGUCGUACUAAUCGCCUACCAAGGAUUGCAAACUAGUACCUAUAAUUCUUACUGUAUGUAAAAAAAAAAACGAUUUAUGUUAAAAGCAUAAAUAGUAGUCGGACUAGUAAGUGGUCGAUUGUACCAUUCUAGGCUGAGUUUGGGAACUUCAUGAAAACUACGGUGUUAUGCAGGGUCAAAAUUGUACGCUCACUUCUUGCCGUGAAAGAAACAAAAGAUUGUAGUACUUAAUGACAUGAGUCGAAUCUUCGUGUUUAAAGAAUAUGAGUUUUCAUACUAUUGGAUGUCUGAAUAUCUGUCGACAAAAACUGAAAAUGAUACUGAUAACUAACAUAUAGUCGAUUGUUAAUAUUUUCUUAAUAUUAAGGAUUCGUAAAUGAGAGAUCAGUUGUCGUAUUUUUAUUGAUUGUGUAUUUUAUGUCUUUUUUUUACAAGUAGACUUAAAAUAUAUACAAGUAAUACAUUUUUAUAUAUGUGGAAUAUUAUAUAUUAACAAAAUUUACAAAUAUGUAAAUUUUGUUAAUUCAUAUAUUUAACAAUAUAUCAACUUACACAAACAUAUAUAUAAACGCACGCACGCGUUUAUACGCGUGCGUAUGACGUCUAGUAAAUGUCACGGUUGUUGAUCUCUGGAAAUCCAGUGGACGUAGCAGCCUGUAGAUGUCUUUUCCGGUUGUUCUACACUUUUCGUUUAAAACCCAUGCUCACGUCUUUCACGACGAGAAAAAAAAGUAAGAAGAAACCGAUCUCGUAUGAACGAAGUCCUAAGCACGGCCAGAAUACAGGCAGAUAAUACUUUUUAAUCAGAACAUCAGCGAGUAUAUAAGUAAUUUAAUCAGAUGUUUAAUGCAAAUUAGGAAAAAAACUACCCCAAUGGAUCUCUAUUCUAAGGUGCAACAUUAUUUAAAUUAUAAGGGACUGCCGAGAGUCUGCGUGAAUGGCUACUAUAUAUUAUAUAUGCAUAUUUUGUGGCCCUUCUGUGUGUGCGUGCGUGCUUGUUUGUGUAUAUGUGUGUACGUAUGUGUGUGUAUGUGUGUGUGUGUGUACGCUUGGUAUAUAUGCGCACGUGAAUAUGCAGGUGGAUGCUAACAUGUGUAUAUGUGUGUAACUGGACGCACGCACAUGUAUGAUGCGUGUAUGUAUGUUCUGUCAUGUACGAACGUGUCACGGUUGUGGGUAUAAACAUAGUAUGAAGUGAAAAGAAAGUACACGCUAUAUGCACGGAAAAUCGAUAGGGAGAGAGAGACAGAUAUGCAGAGAGAUAAGGGGGAUAGAAAUGAGAACAAAAAUGAGGAAAGAAGGAUUGGAAAAUCAAGAAAAGAAUAGAAGAAAAAUGAGGAUGCGGGAUAGCUGCGAGCGACGAUAAAUAGAUAAACGCGGCGAUAACAAGUAUGACAGAGAGUAAAUAUGAACUCGUAUGAGAGACUGAGUUCUGGACAAUUGUAUAGUUCUGCCACAUGGUACUGUAACAGAAUUAUGUAACGGCGAUAAUAUAACACAACAGUAUAAGUGAUAAAAAAAUGCAUAAUUUUUAAGUGGAACAUUUAAAUAGGAAAUUUCGAGUGGAUGGUAGCGGUCAUGUUACGUUUGCCGUGCCGUCUGAGCUUUGCUGCAAGUUGAUUGUAAUUAAUUAUAUGCUACUGACGAUGUUUAUUACGAAUAUUCAAAUUCUUAAGAUUAUUAUUAUUAUUAUUAUUAUUAUUAUUAUUAUUAUUAUUAUUAUUAUUAUUAUCAUUGUGAGCGUCACGUUAAUAUUAUGUUAUUGUUUUUAUUGUGUGUUGUUUUGUAUGUACCUAUCAGCCUACAUAAUAAUAAUAACAUUAUUAUCACAGUAAUCCAUACACAGGCGCGCACACAUAUACACACAUACACACACAGGACACGUAAAGGAAUAGGGAAAGGAAGCAUAAAUAGACAUUAUUAUCUUUGUCCGCUCUAAAUACUGGCAUAAUUUUUCAACCCACAAGUUUACGGUGCACGAACUAAAGAGAAAUUUCAGAUCUACUAAUUUACAAACGGAAGUUGUACGUUUUCUAAUCCAUAGAAAAAAUUUGCAAUGUCCAAAGUAAUGCUAAUUUUCCAUCAAUGGUUUAGAAUUACAAACAUUGGAAUAAUUAAUGAAAUGAAAGAUUAUAUUGUAUAGUUGAAGCACCGAAAAAAGUGGGUGCUAGAAAACACGUUUUAUUUAAAAGAAAAGUUGUUUUUAUAUAGAGAUGUUUUAGAUGUUUUUUGUAAUUCAGUUGCUAAAAUAUUUUUCUGUUAUUUUUAUAUGUAGCGAUGGAAAAGCUGUAACUAUGCAUUAUGUCAUUCUUGACAGAUUGAAGAAAGAAACUGUGUUGUAAAGAUUUAAGUUAUAUUACAUUUUUUUCUGUUUACACGAUAAAGAGGUAUUGAAAAACAAAUCGACUAGCCACUUCAUGUCACACUGUAUAUUAUCAUGCGCUGUAUCUGUAAAUUAUAUGUGUGAAUAUUAAUAGUUUAAUAUUCCGUUAAAAAAAACUCCAUCCUUUAUAUGACAUAUGACAUAUAAACAUAUAACAAAAUAUUACAAAUAAAUCGUCAUGUUUUCUUUGUCAAA